rnacentral:rRNA from 1 species
AGUGAACGCUGGCGGCGUGCUUAACACGUGCAAGUCGAACGAGUUUAUAUAGACUGAAGUUUUCGGAUGGAAGGAAAUAUACGCGAGUGGCGGACGGGUGAGUAACGCGUGGGGAACCUGCCUCAUUCAGGGGGAUACCAGUUGGAAACGACUGUUAAUACCGCAUAAGCGCACGGUGCCGCAUGGCAGAGUGUGAAAAACUGAGGUGGAAUGAGAUGGCCCCGCGUCUGAUUAGCCAGUUGGUGAGGUAACGGCCCACCAAAGCGACGAUCAGUAGCCGGCCUGAGAGGGUGAACGGCCACAUUGGGACUGAGACACGGCCCAAACUCCUACGGGAGGCAGCAGUGGGGAAUAUUGCACAAUGGGGGAAACCCUGAUGCAAGCGACGCCGCGUGAGUGAAGAAGUAUUUCGGUAUGUAAAGCUCUAUCAGCAGGGAAGAAGAUGACGGUACCUGCACAAGAAGCCCCGGCUAACUACGUGCCAGCCGCCGC